rnacentral:rRNA from 1 species
GAUGAACGCUGACAGAAUGCUUAACACAUGCAAGUCAACUUGAAUUUGGGUUUUUAACUUAGGUUUGGGUGGCGGACGGGUGAGUAACGCGUAAAGAACUUGCCUCACAGCUAGGGACAACAUUUGGAGACGAAUGCUAAUACCUAAUAUUAUGAUAAUAGGGCAUCCUAUAAUUAUGAAAGCUAUAAGCGCUGUGAGAGAGCUUUGCGUCCCAUUAGCUAGUUGGAGAGGUAACGGCUCACCAAGGCGAUGAUGGGUAGCCGGCCUGAGAGGGUGAUCGGCCACAAGGGGACUGAGACACGGCCCUUACUCCUACGGGAGGCAGCAGUGGGGAAUAUUGGACAAUGGACCGAGAGUCUGAUCCAGCAAUUCUGUGUGCACGAUGAAGUUUUUCGGAAUGUAAAGUGCUUUCAGUUGGGAAGAAACAAAUGACGGUACCAACAGAAGAAGUGACGGCUAAAUACGUG